CGGCAAGAGCUCAAAUUUGAAAUCUGGCCCCUUUGGGGUCCGAGUUGUAAUUUGCAGAGGAUGCUUCGGGUGCGGUCCCCAUCUAAGUGCCCUGGAACGGGCCGUCAUAGAGGGUGAGAAUCCCGUCUGGGAUGGGCGGCCGCGCCCGUGUGAAGCUCCUUCGACGAGUCGAGUUGUUUGGGAAUGCAGCUCUAAGCGGGUGGUAAAUUUCAUCUAAAGCUAAAUACUGGCCGGAGACCGAUAGCGCACAAGUAGAGUGAUCGAAAGAUGAAAAGCACUUUGAAAAGAGAGUUAAACAGCACGUGAAAUUGUUGAAAGGGAAGCGUUGUCCACCAGACUCGCCCGGGGGGGUUCAGCCGGCACGUGUGCCGGUGUACUCCUCUCCGGGCGGGCCAGCAUCGGUUUGGGCGGCUGGUGAAAGGCCCCGGGAAUGUAACACCCUUCGGGGUGCCUUAUAGCCCGGGGUGCCAUACAGCCAGCCUGGACCGAGGCCCGCGCUUCGGCGAGGAUGCUGGCGUAAUGGUGGUCAACGGCC
rnacentral:rRNA from 1 species